rnacentral:rRNA from 1 species
GACGAACGCUGGCGGCGUGCCUAAUACAUGCAAGUUGAGCGCUGAAGGUUGGUACUUGUACCGACUGGAUGAGCAGCGAACGGGUGAGUAACGCGUGGGGAAUCUGCCUUUGAGCGGGGGACAACAUUUGGAAACGAAUGCUAAUACCGCAUAAAAACUUUAAACACAAGUUUUAAGUUUGAAAGAUGCAAUUGCAUCACUCAAAGAUGAUCUCGCGUUGUAUUAGCUAGUUGGUGAGGUAAAGGCUCAUCAAGGCGGUGACACAUAGCCGACCUGAGAGGGUGAUCGGCCGCAUUGGGAGUGAGACACGGCCCAAACUCCUACGGGAGGCAGCAGUAGGGAAUCUUCGGCAAGGGACGAAAGUCUGACCGAGCAACGCCGCGUGAGUGAAGAAGGUUUUCGGAUCGUAAAACUCUGUUGGUAGAGAAGAACGUUGGUGAGAGUGGAAAGCUCAUCAAGUGACGGUAACUACUCAGAAAGGGACGGCUAACUACGUG